rnacentral:rRNA from 1 species
CCUACGGGAGGCAGCAGUAGGGAAUCUUCCACAAUGGGCGAAAGCCUGAUGGAGCAACGCCGCGUGAGUGAUGAAGGCCUUCGGGUUGUAAAACUCUGUCAUUCGGGACGAACCGGAGUCUGAGGAAAUGCAGACUCUCUGACGGUACCGGAGGAGGAAGCCCCGGCUAACUACGUGCCAGCAGCCGCGGUAAUACGUAGGGGGCAAGCGUUGUCCGGAUUCACUGGGCGUAAAGCGCGCGCAGGCGGUGAUGUAAGUCUGAGGUGAAAACCCGAAGCUCAACUUCGGGACUGCCUUGGAUACUGCGUCACUUGAGGAUAGGAGAGGCAAGGGGAAUUCCACGUGUAGCGGUGAAAUGCGUAGAGAUGUGGAGGAACACCUGUGGCGAAGGCGCCUUGCUGGCCUAUUUCUGACGCUGAGGCGCGAAAGCGUGGGGAGCAAACAGGAUUAGAUACCCUGGCAGUCCACGCUGUAAACGAUGAGUGCUAGGUGUAGGUGGGCUCAUACCCAUCUGUGCCGAAGCUAACGCAUUAAGCACUCCGCCUGGGGAGUACGGUCGCGAAGACUGAAACUUAAAUGAAUUGACGG